rnacentral:rRNA from 1 species
ACGUAGGAGGCAAGCGUUAUCCGGAGUUACUGGGCGUAACGCGUGCGCAGGCGGUUCGCUAAGACAGGUGUGAAAUCCCCGGGCUUAACCUGGGAAUGGCGCUUGUGACUGGCGGGCUGGAGUACGGCAGAGGGGGGUGGAAUUCCACGUGUAGCAGUGAAAUGCGUAGAGAUGUGGAGGAACACCGAUGGCGAAGGCAGCCCCCUGGGACAUGACUGACGCUCAGGUACGAAAGCGUGGGGAGCAAACAG